UCUUGAUUUCCUUUCUAUAUUUCUCUCCUUUUUUUUCUUAUCAUUUUUUAGACUUUUUGCUGUCAUUUUCCUCAAAAUUUUUUGUCUUUAUCCUCACAAAUCAAUGCCCAAAAUCCCAGCAAAAAUGGCACGCCCAUCCAAUGGCAAUGCCCCCCUUUUAUAAGGUAUGAAGAGAUGCCUUAUCCACUUAAGGGAUGCCAACUCUUGGCGAUAAAAAUUCUCACAUGGAGAAAUUAAUUUGGUAUGGAAUAAGAAGUAUUUCAUAGGUAGAAGGA
rnacentral:lncRNA from 1 species